UUACGGUCAAAUCACGCUGAAAACAGCGGUUCUCGUUCGAUCACCGAAGUUAAGCAUCGUAGAGCCAGGUCAGUACUUAGAUGGGGGACCGCUUGGGAACACCUGGUACUGUAAG